rnacentral:RNase_P_RNA from 1 species
GCAGCAGGCUGUUCUAUCGCUCUUCUGUUUUGCAGAAGGGAGGAAAGUCCGGACAACACAGAGCACCGCACUUCCUAACGGGAAGAUGUCCGCGAGGGCAUAGUACCGGAACAGAAAACAACCGUCCCGACCUGUCGGGAUAAGGGUGAAAAGGUGGGGUAAGAGCCCACCGGUGCCGGGGGUGACUCCGGCAGCCGUUCGGCUUGCGGGUUGAAAGACCACGUAUACCGGCGUUUCAGGGUUGCUCGCCCGAUGCCGGGGGGUGGGUCGAUCGAGCGCUUUGGUGACAAAGCGCCCAGAUAAAUGAUAGAAACCCGGACACGCCUUUCAGAGGCAUUUACCGGGAACAGAAUCCGGCUUACAGGCCUGCUGCUUUU